AUACGGAGGGGGCAAGCGUUAUUCGGAAUUAUUGGGCGUAAAGGGCGCGUAGGCGGCUUGACAAGUCAGUGGUGAAAUCCCUCGGCUCAACCGAGGAACUGCCUCUGAAACUGUCUGGCUUGAGGCCGGGAGAGGGUAGUGGAAUUCCCAGUGUAGCGGUGAAAUGCGUAGAUAUUGGGAGGAACACCGGUGGCGAAGGCGGCUACCUGGACCGGUUCUGACGCUGAGGCGCGAAAGUGUGGGGAGCAAACAGGAUUAGAAACCCUAGUAGUCC
rnacentral:rRNA from 1 species